rnacentral:rRNA from 1 species
GAUGAACGCUGGCGGCGUGCCUAAUACAUGCAAGUCGAGCGAAUGGAUUAAGAGCUUGCUCUUAUGAAGUUAGCGGCGGACGGGUGAGUAACACGUGGGUAACCUGCCCAUAAGACUGGGAUACCUCCGGGAAACCGGGGCUAAUACCGGAUAACAUUUUGAACCGCAUGGUUCGAAAUUGAAAGGCGGACUCGGCUGUCACUUAUGGAUGGACCCGGGUCGCAGUCGCUAGUUGGUGAGGUAACGGCUCACCAAGGCAACGAUGCGUAGCCGACCUGAGAGGGUGAUCGGCCACACUGGGACUGAGACACGGCCCAGACUCCUACGGGAGGCAGCAGUAGGGAAUCUUCCGCAAUGGACGAAAGUCUGACGGAGCAACGCCGCGUGAGUGAUGAAGGCUUUCGGGUCGUAAAACUCUGUUGUUAGGGAAGAACAAGUGCUAGUUGAAUAAGCUGGCACCUUGACGGUACCUAACCAGAAAGCCACGGCUAACUACGUGCCAGCCGCCGCCGUAA